UACGUAGGUGGCAAGCGUUGUCCGGAAUUAUUGGGCGUAAAGCGCGCGCAGGUGGUUUCUUAAGUCUGAUGUGAAAGCCCACGGCUCAACCGUGGAGGGUCAUUGGAAACUGGGGAACUUGAGUGCAGAAGAGGAAAGUGGAAUUCCAAGUGUAGCGGUGAAAUGCGUAGAGAUUUGGAGGAACACCAGUGGCGAAGGCGGCUCACUGGACCGGAACUGACGCUGAGGCGCGAAAGCGUGGGGAGCAAACAGG
rnacentral:rRNA from 1 species